rnacentral:rRNA from 1 species
GACGAACGCUGGCGGCGUGCUUAACACAUGCAAGUCGAACGGAAAGGCUCCAGCUUGCUGGCGUACUCGAGUGGCGAACGGGUGAGUAACACGUGGGUAAUCUGCCCUGCACUCUGGGAUAAGCCUGGGAAACUGGGUCUAAUACUGGAUAUGACCUUUCUCCUUAUGGGGUUUGGUGGAAAGUUUUUCGGUGUAGGAUGGGCCCGCGGCCUAUCAGCUUGUUGGUGGGGUGAUGGCCUACCAAGGCGACGACGGGUAGCCGGCCUGAGAGGGUGAUCGGCCACAUUGGGACUGAGAUACGGCCCAGACUCCUACGGGAGGCAGCAGUGGGGAAUAUUGCACAAUGGGCGGAAGCCUGAUGCAGCGACGCCGCGUGAGGGAUGACGGCCUUCGGGUUGUAAACCUCUUUCAGCAGGGACGAAGCGUAAGUGACGGUACCUGCAGAAGAAGCACCGGCUAACUAUGUG